rnacentral:rRNA from 1 species
AUUGAACGCUGGCGGCAUGCUUUACACAUGCAAGUCGAACGGUAACAGGCCGCAAGGUGCUGACGAGUGGCGAACGGGUGAGUAAUGCAUCGGAACGUGCCCAGUCGUGGGGGAUAACGCAGCGAAAGCUGUGCUAAUACCGCAUACGAUCUAUGGAUGAAAGCGGGGGACCGUAAGGCCUCGCGCGAUUGGAGCGGCCGAUGUCAGAUUAGGUAGUUGGUGGGGUAAAGGCCCACCAAGCCGACGAUCUGUAGCUGGGCUGAGAGGACGACCAGCCAAUAUGGGACUGAGACACGGCCCAGACGCCUACGUGAGGCAGCAGUGGGGAAUUUUGGUCAAUGGGCGUAAGCCUGAUCCAGCAAUGCCGCGUGCAGGAAGAAGGCCUUCGGGUUGUAAACUGCUUUUGUACGGAACGAAACGGUCUGGGUUAAUACCCUGGGCUAAUGACGGUACCGUAAGAAUAAGCACCGGCUAACUACGUGCCAGCCGCCGCAGUAACAC